AAGUCGAGCGGUAGAGAGAAGCUUGCUUCUCUUGAGAGCGGCGGACGGGUGAGUAAUGCCUAGGAAUCUGCCUGGUAGUGGGGGAUAACGUUCGGAAACGGACGCUAAUACCGCAUACGUCCUACGGGAGAAAGCAGGGGACCUUCGGGCCUUGCGCUAUCAGAUGAGCCUAGGUCGGAUUAGCUAGUUGGUGAGGUAAUGGCUCACCAAGGCGACGAUCCGUAACUGGUCUGAGAGGAUGAUCAGUCACACUGGAACUGAGACACGGUCCAGACUCCUACGGGAGGCAGCAGUGGGGAAUAUUGGACAAUGGGCGAAAGCCUGAUCCAGCCAUGCCGCGUGUGUGAAGAAGGUCUUCGGAUUGUAAAGCACUUUAAGUUGGGAGGAAGGGCAGUUACCUAAUACGUGAUUGUUUUGACGUUACCGACAGAAUAAGCACCGGCUAACUCUGUGCCAGCAGCCGCGGUAAUACAGAGGGUGCAAGCGUUAAUCGGAAUUACUGGGCGUAAAGCGCGCGUAGGUGGUUUGUUAAGUUGGAUGUGAAAUCCCCGGGCUCAACCUGGGAACUGCAUUCAAAACUGACUGACUAGAGUAUGGUAGAGGGUGGUGGAAUUUCCUGUGUAGCGGUGAAAUGCGUAGAUAUAGGAAGGAACACCAGUGGCGAAGGCGACCACCUGGACUGAUACUGACAC
rnacentral:rRNA from 1 species